rnacentral:rRNA from 1 species
AUGCACGCUGGCGGCGUGCCUCAUACAUGCAAGUCGCGCGAACAGACGAGGAGCUUGCUCCUCUGACGUUAGCGGCGGACGGGUGAGUAACACGUGGAUAACCUACCUAUAAGACUGGGAUAACUUCGGGAAACCGCAGCUAAUACCGGAUAAUAUAUUGAACCGCAUGGUUCAAUAGUGAAAGACGGUUUUGCUGUCACUUAUAGAUGGAUCCGCGCCGCAUUAGCUAGUUGGUAAGGUAACGGCUUACCAAGGCAACGAUGCGUAGCCGACCUGAGAGGGUGAUCGGCCACACUGGAACUGAGACACGGUCCAGACUCCUACGGGAGGCAGCAGUAGGGAAUCUUCCGCAAUGGGCGAAAGCCUGACGGAGCAACGCCGCGUGAGUGAUGAAGGUCUUCGGAUCGUAAAACUCUGUUAUUAGGGAAGAACAAAUGUGUAAGUAACUAUGCACGUCUUGACGGUACCUAAUCAGAAAGCCACGGCUAACUACGUG